GAGGGCAGAUGAGCGCCGGUGUGCUCCCCGGUCUUCAAAACCGGUGCAGGCGGCUUUUGCGCCGCCCAGGUAGGUUCGACCCCUAUCUGCCUUCGCCA
rnacentral:tRNA from 1 species